rnacentral:rRNA from 1 species
UGGGGGAUAUUGCACAAUGGGGGAAACCCUGAUGCAGCGACGCCGCGUGGAGGAAGAAGGUUUUCGGAUUGUAAACUCCUGUCGUUAGGGACGAUAAUGACGGUACCUAACAAGAAAGCACCGGCUAACUACGUGCCAGCAGCCGCGGUAAAACGUAGGGUGCAAGCGUUGUCCGGAAUUACUGGGUGUAAAGGGAGCGCAGGCGGGAAGACAAGUUGGAAGUGAAAACCAUGGGCUCAACCCAUGAAUUGCUUUCAAAACUGUUUUUCUUGAGUAGUGCAGAGGUAGAUGGAAUUCCCGGUGUAGCGGUGGAAUGCGUAGAUAUCGGGAGGAACACCAGUGGCGAAGGCGGUCUACUGGGCACCAACUGACGCUGAGGCUCGAAAGCAUGGGUAGCAAA